AGCGGCAGGCUUAAUACAUGCAAGUCGAGGGGCAGCACAGAUAGCAAUAUUGGGUGGCGACCGGCAAACGGGUGCGUAACACGUACACAACUUUCCGUUAAGUGGGGAAUAGCCUAAAGAAAUUUGGAUUAAUACCCCGUAAUACAUAGAUGUGGCAUCACAAUUAUGUUAUAGGCGCAAGCCGCUUGAUGAUGGGUGUGCGGCUGAUUAGGUAGUUGGCGGGGUAACGGCCCACCAAGCCUUCGAUCAGUAGCUGAUGUGAGAGCAUGAUCAGCCACACGGGCACUGAGACACGGGCCCGACUCCUACGGGAGGCAGCAGUAAGGAAUAUUGGUCAAUGGGCGAAAGCCUGAACCAGCCAUGCCGCGUGGAGGAUGAAGGUCCUCUGGAUUGUAAACUUCUUUUAUUUGGGACGAAAAAAGGGAAUUCUUUCUCACUUGACGGUACCAGAUGAAUAAGCACCGGCUAACUCCGUGCCAGCAGCCGCGGUAAUACGGANGGUGCAAGCGUUAUCCGGAUUCACUGGGUUUAAAGGGUGCGU
rnacentral:rRNA from 1 species